rnacentral:rRNA from 1 species
CCUACGGGGGGCAGCAGUGGGGAAUAUUGCACAAUGGGGGAAACCCUGAUGCAGCAACGCCGCGUGAGCGAUGAAGGCCUUCGGGUCGUAAAGCUCUGUCCUAAGGGAAGAAUACUGACGGUACCUUAGGAGGAAGCCCCGGCUAACUACGUGCCAGCAGCCGCGGUAAUACGUAGGGGGCUAGCGUUAUCCGGAAUUACUGGGCGUAAAGGGUGCGUAGGCGGCCCUUCAAGUCAGAGGUGAAAGGCUACGGCUCAACCGUAGGAAGGCUUUGAAACUGUAGGGCUUGGGUGGAGGAGGGGAGGGGGGGAAUCCCCGUGUAGGCGUGGAAUGGGUAGGUAAUGGGGGGAAAACCAGUUGCGAAGGCGGCUCUCUGGACUGUAACUGACGCUGAGGCACGAAAGCGUGGGGAGCGAACAGGAUUAGAUACCCUAGUAGUC